UUUGAGCGGGGGACAACAUUUGGAAACGAAUGCUAAUACCGCAUAACAACUUUAAACACAAGUUUUAAGUUUGAAAGAUGCAAUUGCAUCACUCAAAGAUGAUCCCGCGUUGUAUUAGCUAGUUGGUGAGGUAAAGGCUCACCAAGGCGAUGAUACAUAGCCGACCUGAGAGGGUGAUCGGCCACAUUGGGACUGAGACACGGCCCAAACUCCUACGGGAGGCAGCAGUAGGGAAUCUUCGGCAAUGGACGAGAGUCUGACCGAGCAACGCCGCGUGAGUGAAGAAGGUUUUCGGAUCGUAAAACUCUGUUGGUAGAGAAGAACGUUGGUGAGAGUGGAAAGCUCAUCAAGUGACGGUAACUACCCAGAAAGGGACGGCUAACUACGUGCCAGCAGCCGCGGUAAUACGUAGGUCCCGAGCGUUGUCCGGAUUUAUUGGGCGUAAAGCGAGCGCAGGUGGUUUAUUAAGUCUGGUGUAAAAGGCAGUGGCUCAACCAUUGUAUGCAUUGGAAACUGGUAGACUUGAGUGCAGGAGAGGAGAGUGGAAUUCCAUGUGUAGCGGUGAAAUGCGUAGAUAUAUGGAGGAACACCGGUGGCGAAAGCGGCUCUCUGGCCUGUAACUGACACUGAGGCUCGAAAGCGUGGGGAGCAAACAGGAUUAGAUACCCUGGUAGUCCACGCCGUAAACGAUGAGUGCUAGAUGUAGGGAGCUAUAAGUUCUCUGUAUCGCAGCUAACGCAA
rnacentral:rRNA from 1 species